UACGAGGGGUGCAGGCGUUAUUCGGAGUUACUGGGCGUAAAGAGCGCGUAGGCGGCUUGCUAAGUUGGUUGUUAAAUUCCUUGGCUCAACUGAGGAUAGGCAGCCAAAACUGACGAGCUAGAGGACAAUAGAGAAAGGUGGAAUUCUCGGAGUAGCGGUAAAAUGCGUAGAUCUCGAGAGGAAUAGCGGUUGCGAAGGCGGCCUUUUGGAUUGUAUCUGACGCUAAAGCGCGAAAGCGUGGGGAGCAAACAGG
rnacentral:rRNA from 1 species